rnacentral:misc_RNA from 1 species
CAGGGCUAAACAACCCCCUAACCCUCUGUAAACUUGAAGUCUGGUUGCUCAGGCAGGCGGUCCCCGGGGGGGAUCGCAGCCUCGCUGAGGCGCCUGCCGGAGGAUACCUAAACUCGUUUUUAUUACCGAAUAUCUGAGUUAAACAAAAUGAAUUA